rnacentral:rRNA from 1 species
GACGAACGCUGGCGGCGUGCUUAACACAUGCAAGUCGAACGGAAAGGCCCUGCUUUUGUGUGGUGCUCGAGUGGCGAACGGGUGAGUAACACGUGAGUAACCUGCCCUUGACUGUGUGAUAACUUCAGGAAACUGGUGCUAAUACCGGAGAGGAGCUCCUGCUGCAUGGGGGGGGUUGGAAAUUUUAGGCGGUUGUGGAUCGACUCGCGGCUUAUCAGCUUGUUGGUGGGGUAGUGGCUUACCAAGGCUUUGACGGGUAGCCGGCCUGAGAGGGUGACCGGCGACCUUGGGCCUGAGAUACGGACCAGACUCCUACGGGAGACAGCAGUGGGGAAUAUUGCACAAUGGGCGGAAGCCUGAUGAAGAAACGCCGCGUGCGGGAUGACGGCCUUCGGGUUGUAAACCGCUUUCGCCUGUGACGAAGCGUGAGUGACGGUAAUGGGUAAAGAAGCACCGGCUAACUACGUG